rnacentral:rRNA from 1 species
ACCAGGUUGCCGCAAGGCCUCCUGGGUAACCUACCACCCUUUGUUUAUUACACUUUGUUGCUUUGGCAAGCCUGCCCUCGGGCUGCUGGCUCCGGCCGGCGAGCGCUUGCCAGAGGACCUAAACUCUGUUUGUCUAUACUGUCUGAGUACUAUAUAAUAGUUAAAACUUUCAACAACGGAUCUCUUGGUUCUGGCAUCGAUGAAGAACGCAGCGAAAUGCGAUAAGUAAUGUGAAUUGCAGAAUUCAGUGAAUCAUCGAAUCUUUGAACGCACAUUGCGCCCCCUGGUAUUCCGGGGGGCAUGCCUGUCCGAGCGUCAUUACAACCCUCAAGCUCAGCUUGGUAUUGGGCCCCGCCGACCCGGCGGGCCCUAAAGUCAGUGGCGGUGCCGUCCGGCUCCGAGCGUAGUAAUUCUUCUCGCUCUGGAGGUCCGGUCGUGUGCUCGCCAGCAACCCCCAAUUUUUUUCAGGUUGACCUCGGAUCAGGUAGGGAUACCCGCUGAACUUAAGCAUAUCAAAGGCCGGGAGGAA